CUGGGCCUCACGGUGGGACAUCAUCCCGAGACACGCUGGUCGAAGUCCCUUUGGCGGAGCUCAUUGCCACUGUCCGCUGUGCCAGGAAGACUUUAUUCUGCGCUUCCUGGGGUCAAGAGAGGUGAAGGAUAUCUUGAGGACACAGGUAAUGGGACCCCAGAUCACAUAUUCAAACUGAGAAGUCUGUGUCCCCUCACCUGGAGAUCAGCAGGAGAGGCACAGCAAAAGCCUGGGUCCCCAGAAAGAAGAGAAAAUUCUGGGUGGUCUGAGGGAGGCUGUCAAUGGAUUCAGGGAUCUGGGCCCAGAUGGAUGACUUCCCCCGGAAUGGACCGCACGCCUUAGAAGGUGGGAUCCUGGAGGCAGAGACAGGCUGGGCUCAAUAGGACCAGAAUCAGAACCCUGAGUGAAGGUAGAAGAAGGAGGCAGGAACCGCUCCCACUCACUGGAAUAUGCUGUAAAACACCGGGACAGCAGAGAUGGCCAGACCCAAGAGAAGGACCAGAGGGAAAAAGAAAUUCGCGGUGGAGGCCCGGAAGGUGCGGGAGGCUGGAGAGCAGGUGAAGAAGAGGGUGACCUGGCAAAGAAGGUUGGAAAAGGGGUUCUGAGACCCAAGAGUCGCUCACUUAUCCUUUUUUCCUACCCUAGAGUCCUGCCCCCCACCCCAGGCUGUA